rnacentral:rRNA from 1 species
ACGAACGCUGGCGGCGUGCUUAACACAUGCACGUCGAACGGAAAGGCCCUGCUUUUGUGGGGUGCUCGAGUGGCGAACGGGUGAGUAACACGUGAGUAACCUGCCCUUGACUUUGGGAUAACUUCAGGAAACUGGGGCUAAUACCGGAUAGGAGCUCCUGCUGCAUGGUGGGGGUUGGAAAGUUUCGGCGGUUGGGGAUGGACUCGCGGCUUAUCAGCUUGUUGGUGGGGUAGUGGCUUACCAAGGCUUUGACGGGUAGCCGGCCUGAGAGGGUGACCGGCCACAUUGGGACUGGGAUACGGCCCAGACUCCUACGGGAGGCAGCAGUGGGGAAUAUUGCACAAUGGGCGGAAGCCUGAUGCAGCAACGCCGCGUGCGGGAUGACGGCCUUCGGGUUGUAAACCGCUUUCGCCUGUGACGAAGCGUGAGUGACGGUAAUGGGUAAAGAAGCACCGGCUAACUACGUG